UACGUAGGGGGCAAGCGUUGUCCGGAUUUAUUGGGCGUAAAGAGCGUGUAGGCGGUCAGGUAGGUCCGUUGUGAAAACUCGAGGCUCAACCUCGAGACGCCGAUGGAAACCAUCUGACUAGAGUCCGGAAGAGGAGAGUGGAAUUCCUGGUGUAGCGGUGAAAUGCGCAGAUAUCAGGAGGAACACCGGUGGCGAAGGCGGGUCUCUGGGCCGUAAGCUGACGCUGAGGAGCGAAAGCGUGGGGAGCGAACAGG
rnacentral:rRNA from 1 species